rnacentral:lncRNA from 1 species
UCGUCUUAAGUCCUAUAGAAUCUUCUAAAUUUGAAAAGAAAAUAAAAGAAAUGAAGAGAUGAGCUUUACAGGCUCAAUAAGUUAUCAAUAUCUAUAAGAGAUCAAGCACAAUUAAUUUUCAAGAUAUAACAACUUAACAAUAAUAUAUAACAAUAUAAUUUUUUUUAAAAAUAUGCCAUACACAUCAAUAAAAGCCAAAAAUCUUCUCUCAAUCUUUGGUGACUAUGGCCACGA